CCUACGGGAGGCUGCAGUGGGGAAUAUUGCACAAUGGGCGCAAGCCCGAUGCAGCCAUGCCGCGUGUGUGAAGAAGGCCUUCGGGUUGUAAAGCACUUUCAGCGGGGAGGAAGGCGGUGAGGUUAAUAACCUCAUCGAUUGACGUUACCCGCAGAAGAAGCACCGGCUAACUCCGUGCCAGCAGCCGCGGUAAUACGGAGGGUGCAAGCGUUAAUCGGAAUUACUGGGCGUAAAGCGCACGCAGGCGGUCUGUCAAGUCGGAUGUGAAAUCCCCGGGCUCAACCUGGGAACUGCAUUCGAAACUGGCAGGCUAGAGUCUUGUAGAGGGGGGUAGAAUUCCAGGUGUAGCGGUGAAAUGCGUAGAGAUCUGGAGGAAUACCGGUGGCGAAGGCGGCCCCCUGGACAAAGACUGACGCUCAGGUGCGAAAGCGUGGGGAGCAAACAGGAUUAGAUACCCCAGUAGUC
rnacentral:rRNA from 1 species